CUUAAAUAGAAAGUCUGUUCGACUUUUAAACAAUUACAUGAUUUGAGUUCAAACCGGUAUAAGCCAGGUUGGUUUCUAUCUUCUUUAACUUUUUCUUAGUACGAAAGGACCAGAAAAUAUUUUAAAUCUUUUUGGCAGACAAUUGCAUUAGAUUUAGAUUCUAAUUAUCCUAAAUUUAUUUAUACAAUUAAUUCUUUA
rnacentral:misc_RNA from 1 species